AAACUAUCAUGGUUGUAAGAUGAGACUCCACCACCUAAAGAGAUGGAUAGAACAUUUACUCCAUCAGCUACAGCUGUAUCAACAGCUGAUAGAAUAUCUGAGCUGAAACAUCCACCAGUCCAACACACUUUUUCCAUAAGCAUAACCAAGAAGAUUAGCACCACGAACCGGAGAUCCGGCAACAGUAGCUGCAGUGUGAGUUCCAUGACCAUCUUGAUCUCUAGGUGAUUUAUAAUCUGCUUGCUCAUCAAUCUUACCAGUUGCUGCUUCAUAUCCAUGGUAGAAUAUUCUAGCACCUACAAUCUUCUUAUUGCAGUGAUGAUUUCUGAAUCCUCUACCAGUUUCACAUGCACCUUUCCAGUGAGAAGGUACUGGUUUCAUUCCUGCAUCAUUGAAACUCUCACUCUCAGGCCAAACACCAGUAUCUAACACACCAACUAUAACAUCAUGGUUAACCAGCUUUUCUGAAAAACUGUUGUUGCUGCUUUGAAUUGGUUCAAGACCAAGAAAAUAUGGACUUCUUGUUGUGUGUAGUUCAUACUUUGUUUCAGGGAAUAUAGCUACAACACCAGCUUCAGAUUCCAGCUUUUUUACUUCUUCUUGGCUUAACUUAGCAGCCAUUCCAUGAAAAGCAGUGUUGUAACUGUAAAUGAUUCUUUCUUCUUCAUUGUUGUCUAUAUCAGAUUCUACUGAUCUAGACAGUACUGAUUUUACUUUUGAUGAAUACCAUUCUAAGUGAUUGGAAAAUAUGUCUGGUUUUGCUGAGUGAUCCAUUUGAAUGAUGUAAGUCUUUUUGGUAAAUUCAGCAUUUGUUGAUAAGACUAUACUCAAGAGAAAACAUGUUAGAAUGCAACUCAUUUUUUCCAUUGGAGUGAUUUGAUACUUAUCUAUGUAAAAAAAUAAAAAAAAAAACUAAGGUUUUUGAAGCAUUUGGUUCAAAGUGAAAUAGAUAGGUAAAGAAAAUUUAAUAGUAAUAGGAGUUUAUGCUCUAUUCUGAGUGAGAUAUAUUUAAAAGAAAUGAGAGUAGUGAGUGAGUGAUAUUUAGUGUGACAGCAGUGCACAGAAGAAGUAAAGGUGAACGGUUGUUUCUUGUUGAAUUGUAUAGUAUAAAUUGAAUGGUGAAUUAAAAGUGCUACCUCUUGGUUGGUGAUUGAAGUUAA